GCAAGCAGACUCUGGAUGCUGGUUACACAUCAAGCUUGCCCAAAUGGAGAAGAAAGAGGGAGUGAAGCUUCAGAGCUGUCAACAGCCAAACAGCAAAAAAUGGAGUCAUAUUUCUUAUUACAAAAGACUUCUGCAGUGUCAUCUGGGGACAGACAACUGUAGGGCCAAGCAUCUCACUGAUCACUCUUUAUGGAUUUUUAUGAUAGUGGAAAUAAGGAACAGAACCUGAAAGAAUUUGUGGUUACAGCCAAAGGAGAGAGAGAUUUGGCAGAGGGCCCUGAAGCCUAGAAGCAACUACCCACGCCCCUCCCACCACCACCUAGUCAGGUUUCAGCCCUACUGAAAACUGCUAUGGAAGACAACAAGCUCUUGUUAGAUAUAUAUGUAUUGAUGGCAAGGUGGUUUCACAUUCUGGAGGAUAUGGGGGCCGAAUGCAUCAAGUAGAACGUAAAAAUGAAUGGAUGGCCAGGCGCAGUGGCUCACGCCUGCAAUCCCAGCACUUUGGGAGGAUGAGGAGGGAGGAUCGCUUGAGGCC